rnacentral:rRNA from 1 species
UACGUAGGGGGCAAGCGUUGUCCGGAUUUAUUGGGCGUAAAGAGCGUGUAGGCGGUCUGUUAAGUCCUGUGUGAAAGCCUUUGGCUUAACCAAGGAAGUGCGCAGGAAACUGGCGGACUUGAGUGCCGGAGAGGGUCGCGGAAUUCCCGGUGUAGAGGUGAAAUUCGUAGAUAUUCGCAAGAACACCAGUGGCGAAGGCGGCUCACUGGCCCGGUACUGACGCUGAGGUGCGAAAGCGUGGGGAGCAACAGG